rnacentral:lncRNA from 1 species
CACCACAAGGACUGGAGAAGGGCACCCUUGGAAAUGCAAUGCUAUAUCUCAAUGGGAUUUUCCAGUACAGAGAUUCUUUUCAAUAACAUAAUUGUGGAUACACACCACUCCUGUAGUGGUAAACCUCAGGUUCUCCUCCUGCCUUUUGCUAAGUAUAUGUCUUGAUGACAAGCCUUCUGCUAAUGAGCUGUGUUUCUGGACCGAUCAUGGUAGAAGUCAAUUGAAGUGUCCCUCACUUGGGGUUUCUUAAGGCUGCACUGAUGAGGAAACUGAAACAGAAAAUCCAGAGUAAAUUCCACCAGGCCACACAGCAAGGUCUGAUAGAGCCAGGAGAGACUUUAUGAAAUCCAGACUCUCACACUAAUGCUCUAUCAGCUAGACCUCCAUGUGAGUCUCCCCAAUGUAGGUAGGAAGCACUUUCCCUAAAAUGCUCAUAAAGCAAAUCAGAGCAAUGCUUCAUUUCAUGUGAUUUCUAAUUUGAAAUGCAAACAAUUGCCAAUUUGUUUGACUUGUAUUUAUAAUUAUUUCCUUGUGAAUUACUCAUCACUAAAUGCUUUAUAAAUAUUUUCUCUUUUUUUUCUCAAUGUCUAUGGAAUGAUCACAGCAUAGAAAAUGUUGGCUUUCAAGGAUUUAUUAAUAUCUCCUUUUGAAAUAGCAUGUAUUUGUAAGACAGUAUAAAAUCACUUUAAAGAAACAAA